UGAUUGCCCGUCUCAUUUACAUUUAUUCAUAUAAUCAUAUGAUACGAUGUUGCAGCUAUUUCUUUCUUGAGUGAUUUGUUAAUCAAAAGAGCAAUUUAUAACAUGCUGUUUCGUUUUAGAACAUUUCAUUGUUACAAUGCAGGAUCUUCAUAUUUCGUCAAUGCAAUAAUUAUUCCAUUGCAAUUUAAAGAAGAUAAAAGGAAUGAAUUUUAGGCUUGCAUGCAAUGCCUGUAGUUAUAGCGACACUGUAUUGAAACGGUUUGCUGAUAAUCAAUGUAUCACAUCACAGGGCAUGGUUUGAAAAAUUAAUUUAAAAGUAUGUUUGAGAAACAACAGUUAUAUGUAAAUGUAACGUUAAAAAUGUGCUUCCUUGAUACUGUAUAUUUGAGUGUUGACGUACAUUUAGCAUUCAUUCGUAUUGAAAAAUACUGUUUAGCAUGUUUUUGAAUACCACAAUGGUUUUAUAGGCAAACCUCUUUGACAAAAUUAAUGAAUUUGGUUAAAGAGUUAACCAAUUUGAGGACGAUUUGACAUUAAAUGUAUAAUUAUGUAUGUUUUAAAAUUUGAGUCAUUGGUUGGAAUAAAAGAGCCAGCACAAGUC
rnacentral:misc_RNA from 1 species